rnacentral:rRNA from 1 species
UGGGGAAUUUUGGACAAUGGGGGCAACCCUGAUCCAGCAAUGCCGCGUGAGUGAAGAAGGCCUUCGGGUUGUAAAGCUCUUUUGUCAGGGAAGAAACGGGAGUGGCUAAUAUCCAAUCCUAAUGACGGUACCUGAAGAAUAAGCACCGGCUAACUACGUGCCAGCAGCCGCGGUAAUACGUAGGGUGCAAGCGUUAAUCGGAAUUACUGGGCGUAAAGCGUGCGCAGGCGGUUUUGUAAGUCUGUCGUGAAAUCCCCGGGCUUAACCUGGGAAUUGCGAUGGAGACUGCAAGGCUGGAGUCUGGCAGAGGGGGGUAGAAUUCCACGUGUAGCAGUGAAAUGCGUAGAGAUGUGGAGGAACACCGAUGGCGAAGGCAGCCCCCUGGGUCAAGACUGACGCUCAUGCACGAAAGCGUGGGGAGCAAACA